GGGCCCGCACAAGCGGUGGAGCAUGUGGUUUAAUUCGAUGAUACGCGAGGAACCUUACCAGGGCUUAAAUGUAAGUUGCAUAAGCUAGAGAUAGCUUUUUCUUCGGACUACUUACAAGGUGCUGCAUGGUUGUCGUCAGCUCGUGCCGUGAGGUGUCAGGUUAAGUCCUAUAACGAGCGCAACCCCUGUCGUUAGUUGCCAGCAAGUUAAGUUGGGCACUCUAGCGAGACUGCCGGUGCAAACCGCGAGGAAGGUGGGGAUGACGUCAAAUCAUCACGGCCCUUACGUCCUGGGCUACACACGUGCUACAAUGGCCGGUACAGAGAGCAGCCACUACGCGAGUAGGAGCGAAUCUUCAAAGCCGGUCUCAGUUCGGAUCGCAGUCUGCAACUCGACUGCGUGAAGCUGGAAUCGCUAGUAAUCG
rnacentral:rRNA from 1 species